AAGCCCGGCUACUACGUCCAGCAGCGCGGUAUUCGUAGGGGCAAGCGUGUCCGGAUUUAUGGGCGUAAAGCGAGCGCAGGCGGUUUUUUAAGUCUGAUGUGAAAGCCUUCGGCUCAACCGAAGAAGUGCAUCGGAAACUGGGAAACUUGAGUGCAGAAGAGGACAGUGGAACUCCAUGUGUAGCGGUGAAAUGCGUAGAUAUAUGGAAGAACACCAGUGGCGAAGGCGGCUGUCUGGUCUGUAACUGACGCUGAGGCUCGAAAGUAUGGGUAGCAAACAGGAUUAGAUACCCUGGUAGUCCAUACCGUAAACGAUGAAUGCUAAGUGUUGGAGGGUUUCCGCCCUUCAGUGCUGCAGCUAACGCAUUAAGCAUUCCGCCUGGGGAGUACGGCCGCAAGGCUGAAACUCAAAGGAAUUGACGGGGGCCCGCACAAGCGGUGGAGCAUGUGGUUUAAUUCGAAGCUACGCGAAGAACCUUACCAGGUCUUGACAUACUAUGCAAAUCUAAGAGAUUAGACGUUCCCUUCGGGGACAUGGAUACAGGUGGUGCAUGGUUGUCGUCAGCUCGUGUCGUGAGAUGUUGGGUUAAGUCCCGCAACGAGCGCAACCCUUAUUAUCAGUUGCCAGCAUUAAGUUGGGCACUCUGGUGAGACUGCCGGUGACAAACCGGAGGAAGGUGGGGAUGACGUCAAAUCAUCAUGCCCCUUAUGACCUGGGCUACACACGUGCUACAAUGGAUGGUACAACGAGUUGCGAACUCGCGAGAGUAAGCUAAUCUCUUAAAGCCAUUCUCAGUUCGGAUUGUAGGCUGCAACUCGCCUACAUGAAGUCGGAAUCGCUAGUAAUCGCGGAUCAGCAUGCCGCGGUGAAUACGUUCCCGGGCCUUGUACACACCGCCCGUCACACCAUGAGAGUUUGUAACACCCAAAGUCGGUGGGGUAACCUUUAGAACAGCCGCCAAG
rnacentral:rRNA from 2 species